rnacentral:rRNA from 1 species
UACGUAGGGCGCAAGCGUUGUCCGGAAUUAUUGGGCGUAAAGAGCUCGUAGGCGGCCUGUUGCGUCCGCUGUGAAAUCCCGGGGCUCAACCCCGGGCCUGCAGUGGAUACGGGCUGGCUAGAGGCAGGCAGGGGAGAACGGAAUUCCUGGUGUAGCGGUGAAAUGCGCAGAUAUCGGGAAGAACACCCGUGGCGAAGGCGGCACUGUGGGACGGUACUGACGCUGAGACGCGAAAGCGUGGGGAGCGAACAGG